AUUGAACGCUGGCGGCAGGCUUAACACAUGCAAGUCGAGCGAGCGGCGGACGGGUGAGUAAUGUCUGGGAAACUGCCUGAUGGAGGGGGAUAACUACUGGAAACGGUAUCUAAUACCGCAUACCAUCAGAUGUGCCCAGAUGGGAUUAGCUAGUGGGUGGGGUAACGGCUCACCGAGGCGACGAGCCCUAGCUGGUCUGAGAGGAUGACCAGCCACACUGGAACUGAGACACGGUCCAGACUCCGACGGGAGGAAGCAGUGGGGAAUAUUGCACAAUGGGCGCAAGCCUGAUGCAGCCAUGCCGCGUGUGUGAAGAAGGCCUUCGGGUUGUAAAGCACUUUCAGCGGGGAGGCGUUACCCGCAGAAGAAGCACCGGCUAACUCCGUGCCAGCAGCCGCGGUAAUUC
rnacentral:rRNA from 1 species